rnacentral:ribozyme from 14 species
AGAAGAUGAGCAGAGAAGAAAGAAUCACAAUUGCCAGGGUUUGAUAUGAUAUUUGUUCGUUCUUUUUCUUCUUCUUUUUAUUCUUCUUAUU